rnacentral:rRNA from 1 species
AACGAACGCUGGCGGCAUGCCUAACACAUGCAAGUCGAACGAGACCUUCAGGUCUAGUGGCGCACGGGUGCGUAACGCGUGGGAACCUGCCUUUAGGUUCGGAAUAACUCAGAGAAAUUUGAGCUAAUACCGGAUGAUGUCUUCGGACCAAAGAUUUAUCGCCUUUAGAUGGGCCCGCGUUGGAUUAGCUAGUUGGUGGGGUAAAGGCCUACCAAGGCGACGAUCCAUAGCUGGUCUGAGAGGAUGAUCAGCCACACUGGGACUGAGACACGGCCCAGACUCCUACGGGAGGCAGCAGUGGGGAAUAUUGGACAAUGGGCGAAAGCCUGAUCCAGCAAUGCCGCGUGAGUGAUGAAGGCCUUAGGGUUGUAAAGCUCUUUUACCCGAGAUGAUAAUGACAGUAUCGGGAGAAUAAGCUCCGGCUAACUCCGUG